UACGGAAGGGGCGAGCGUUGUUCGGAAUCAUUGGGCGUAAAGGGCGCGUAGGUGGUUCUGUAUGUCUGCCGUGAAAGGGUACAGCUUAACUGUAGCUUGUCGGUAGAAACUGCAGGACUUGAGGCUGGGAGGGGCUGGUGGAAUUCCCUGUGUAGCGGUGAAAUGCGUAGAGAUGGGGGAGAACACUCGUGGCGAAGGCGGCCAGCUAGACCAGUUCUGACACUGAGGCGCGACAGCGUGGGGAGCAAACGGG
rnacentral:rRNA from 1 species